rnacentral:rRNA from 1 species
UACGAAGGGGGCUAGCGUUGUUCGGAAUUACUGGGCGUAAAGGGCGCGCAGGCGGCUCUUCAAGUCAGGCGUGAAAGCCCCGGGCUCAACCUGGGAACUGCGCUUGAGACUGGAGAGCUAGAGUUCGGGAGAGGAGAGUGGAAUUCCACGUGUAGCAGUGAAAUGCGUAGAUAUGUGGAGGAACACCGAUGGCGAAGGCAGCCCCCUGGGUCAAGACUGACGCUCAUGCACGAAAGCGUGGGGAGCAAACAGG